rnacentral:rRNA from 1 species
GAUGAACGCUGGCGGCGUGCCUAAUACAUGCAAGUCGAGCGAAUGGAUUAAGAGCUUGCUCUUAUGAAGUUAGCGGCGGACGGGUGAGUAACACGUGGGUAACCUGCCCAUAAGACUGGGAUAACUCCGGGAAACCGGGGCUAAUACCGGAUAACAUUUUGAACAGCAUGGUUCGAAAUUGAAAGGCGGCUUCGGCUGUCACUUAUGGAUGGACCCGCGUCGCAUUAGCUAGUUGGUGAGGUAACGGCUCACCAAGGCAACGAUGCGUAGCCGACCUGAGAGGGUGAUCGGCCACACUGGGACUGAGACACGGCCCAGACUCCUACGGGAGGUAGCAGUAGGGAAUCUUCCGCAAUGGACGAAAGUCGGACGGAGCAACGCCGCGUGAGUGACGAAGGCUUUCGGGUCGUAAAACUCUGUUGUUAGGGAAGAACAAGUGCUAGUUGAAUAAGCUGACACCUUGACGGUACCUAACCAGAAAGCCACGGCUAACUACGUGCCAGCCGCCGCCGUAA